rnacentral:rRNA from 1 species
AUUGAACGCUGGCGGAAUGCUUUACACAUGCAAGUCGAGCGGCAGCGCGGGGCAACCUGGCGGCGAGCGGCGAACGGGUGAGUAAUGCAUCGGAACAUGUCCAUGUCGUGGGGGAUAGCCCGGCGAAAGCCGGAUUAAUACCGCAUACGCCCGAGAGGGGAAAGGUGGGGGACCGCAAGGCCUCACGCGAUUGGGUUGGCCGAUGUCCGAUUAGCUAGUUGGCGGGGUAAGAGCCCACCAAGGCGAUGAUCGGUAGCUGGUCUGAGAGGAUGAUCAGCCACACUGGGACUGAGACACGGCCCAGACUCCUACGGGAGGCAGCAGUGGGGAAUUUUGGACAAUGGGGGCAACCCUGAUCCAGCCAUUCCGCGUGAGUGAAGAAGGCC